rnacentral:rRNA from 1 species
GAUGAACGCUGGCGGCGUGCCCAAUACAUGCAAGUCGAGCGAACGGACGAGAAGCUUGCUUCUCUGAUGUUAGCGGCGGACGGGUGAGUAACACGUGGAUAACCUACCUAUAAGACUGGGAUAACUUCGGGAAACCGGAGCUAAUACCGGAUGAUAUUUUGAACCGCAUGGUUCAAAAGUGAAAGACGGUCUUGCUGUCACUUAUAGAUGGAUCCGCGCUGCAUUAGCUAGUUGGUAAGGUAACGGCUUACCAAGGCAACGAUGCAUAGCCGACCUGAGAGGGUGAUCGGCCACACUGGAACUGAGACACGGUACAGACUCCUACGGGAGGUAGCAGUAGGGAAUCUUCCGCAAUGGGCGAAAGCCUGACGGAGCAACGCCGCGUGAGUGAUGAAGGUCUUCGGAUCGUAAAACUCUGUUAUUAGGGAAGAACAUAUGUGUAAGUAACUGUGCACAUCUUGACGGUACCUAAUCAGAAAGCCACGGCUAACUACGUG